CUUCCCGUUCCCCACACACACGCCGUUUCCUCUCUGCUCACCUCGCCGAGCGCCUCCAUGGCCGCGUCGUCAACAUGCACGCGGCCACCGGCCACCGUCCUCCACACCGACGGGUCCAGGAGGUCCACCGUGGACGAGUUCGUCGCCUGCGCCCUCGAGACCAAGCCGGAGAGCCCGCGGCAUCGCCAUCGCCUUGUUCUGCACCGCCUCGGCCGCCGUCGAUCCGCGGCGGACACCACCGCUUCGGCGCCACCCCGUCCUCCCCGAGUCUUCUGUGAGCAUUGCUACCCCGAGACUGCCGGCGACCCCCAGUUCGACUACGGUGUUGACGAUCCCUCCUUGCCAGAGCAACCAGAUGCUGGAGUCCAGGAGCCAGACGCCACCGUCGACGACGACCCCUACUACACUGGAGGUGCCUACUACUACGUGCUGCCCGCUGAUGACGACCAGGAGUAGUUUAGGAGGAUCCCAGGAAGGAGGCCUACGCCUCUUUCGAUCUGUACCCCAGUUUGUGCUAGCCUUCUUAAGGCAAACUUGUUUAACUUAUGUCUGUACUUAGAUAUUGUUGCUUCCGCUGACUCGUCUAUGAUCGAGCACUUGUAUUCGAGCCCUCGAGGCCCCUGGCUUGUAUUAUG
rnacentral:rRNA from 1 species